rnacentral:rRNA from 1 species
AUACGGAGGGUGCGAGCGUUAUCCGGAUUUAUUAGGUUUAAAGGGUGUGUAGGCGGGAGCCUAAGUCAGUGGUGAAAUCUCACAGCUUAACUGUGAAACUGCCAUUGAAACUGGGUUUCUUGAGUAUAGUUGAGGUAGGCGGAAUGUGUAAUGUGGCGGUGAAAUGCAUAGAUAUUACACAGAACACCGAUCGCGAAGGCAGCUUACUAAGCUAUUACUGACGCUGAUGCACGAAAGCGUGGGUAGCGAACAGGAUUAGAAACCCGAGUAGUCC